AGUGAACGCUGGCGGCGUGCCUAAUACAUGCAAGUCGAACGGAGUGGCGCACGGGGGAGUAAUGUAUAGCUAAUCUGCCCUACACUAGAGGACAACAGUUGGAAACGACUGCUAAUACUCUAUAGUGUAGGAUGAGGCUAUAUUGUAUCAGCUAGGUGGUGAGGUAAUGGCUCCCCAAGGCUAUGACGCAUAACUGGUCUGAGCGGAUGCUCCGGCAACCUGGAAGUGAGACACGGGUCAGACUUCUUCGGGAAGGAGCAAUAGGGAAUACUGCUAAAUGGGGGAAAGUCGGAAGCAUCAACGCCGCGUGGAGGAUGAUACUUUUCGGAGCGUAAACUCCUUUUGUUAGGGAAGCGGUACCUAACGAAUAAGCACCGGCUAACUCCGUGCCAGCAGCCGCGGUAAUAC
rnacentral:rRNA from 1 species